rnacentral:tRNA from 1 species
GAGAGUACAGCUCAGUGGUAGAGUGCGUGCAUGGAAUGCAUGAGGUCUUGGGUUCAAUCCCCAGGACUUCCA